GAAGGAGAAGAAAUGGAAACUGAUAUGGAUGUUGCAGAUGUGACUAUUUAAAGGAGUUCAGGCUCAUCCAUCUCUGUGGAGCACAGGCUGGAUGUUGAAUUAAGGGCAUCAGGUCCCAGUAGCACUAACAUCUCUUCUGGCCCCAGCCCCAGUCCCAGUCCCGGUCCCAGCCCUGGUCCCCAUCCUGGAGUCCAGUGUAUUCCACAAUGAGCAGCACUUCAGAAAUCCAUGUUGAAUUUCCUCAAGCAGGCCUUCCAAGACC
rnacentral:lncRNA from 10 species